CCGAUCACAGAGCACAUAGAGCCAGAGUAAGACAUUGGGAGGAAGAAGAAUAAAGAAGCGCAAAAAAGAACGGGGAAGGAAGAGGGCUAUGUGUAGUCACCUGUUUGAUUAGGGGAGUGGCUGACGGAAUCCCGAAUGGGAGCCAUGCCUGGAAACAGAGAGAGGAAAGACUGUCAAACAGACUUGGAGCGAGUUAUAGAGAGAAAGCCAUAAGAAAACACAGGGGAGACGUUAGAGAGUUAGUACAGAGCAGAACAUUCAAUGGAAAUCAAGCGAACAGUAAGGAAAACAAGUUUAAAGUCAGAGGGGUUUCAAAUUAGAAAGGCUUGCCGAGUAGAGGAACAUUAGUAAACGGAGCCAGCUGAAGCUAGAUCGUUCUGUUUAACAACUAUUUGGAUUGUAAUUUACCUGUGAGUGCGGCUCGUGGCCCCGAGUCGAGUGGUGAACGAGUGACCUCCGGUUCCAAGGUCGACAAAUGGGAGGUCAAAAGUACAGGAAGAGGGGGAGACAACAGUCACAGCAGGGCGGAGGAGUGAAACAAAAACAAAAGCCAGACACAAGAGAGCAACAUCAAGAUACUCAAGGUCAGAGAUAGACGCUAUCAGACUUCCCAGCUACACUCGCCUCGUACUUGCAGCUGUAACAGUAGUACAAACCGAACUCAGUGGAAACUACAAAUGGGAUGGAAAACACUGCUACGUCACAUGGCAAAGAACACCAGCGGCGGCGUAAGAGAGAAGCACACUGCACUUCAGGGAGAAACAAACAGAGACAGGACCAUGCAAGGAAGAAAAAGUAUUGGAAAAAUAAACACUUAAAUAUUUUGAAACAUGUCAAGGUCUCUUGGCUGAACUGAAUAAGCAGUCAAAAGAAAUAAAAUAUGAGUUUAAAUCUCGAGCCAAGCACUUUUUGGAACUCUUUUGGGAGUUGAAAUAUGUUCUACUGAGCCAAUUUUCAUCCUGUGUUGCCAGAUCUUUGUCUGUACGGGAAACUGAAGCACGGACGGUUGUGAAAAUAUAUCUUUACCGAGAGAAAGACGGGCAAUAUUAAUACCAGCGUUGCUUAGUGGGAAGAAUCGCAUGGGGAGUUCAGAGAAAUGGGCCGAAUGAGUACUAGACUUUUGAGUUAGAAGCACAUUGCUCAGUUUAGAUACAUAGCUCUGUGAAAGUAGAAAAGGAAGUUGCUAUCCUGAAAAGAGCGGAUUAUAAGGAUAAAUCCAAAGGCUACAAAUCCUCACAGACAAUAACUACGUGAUGUACUUCCACGCAUUAAAAGCGUCCCACUGCGCCUGAGAAGCCCUGACUUCUUGUCUCACCUUUUGACCAGUCCUUGAUCUUCUUAUCCUCCGUCCUCGUCACAAUCUCCGUCUCUCUCUCUCUUCCAUCCACUGUUCUUCCCUCUAUGGGUAUGUUCCCUGCGAACAAAUGGAAGAAGCACCAUGACUGACCGAUGUAUUCAUUUAUUUAUUUAUAAAACCAGAAGCUUUUUCCUGUUUACGUGGCACAAAAACAAUGAUCACUUUAAUCACUUGAAGAUGUCAGCUUGGAAUUUCCUGGAUUACUGCAGAUUUUUGAAUCAAACCAUAAUAUAUUAAAAACUAAUCU